GAUGAAGAACGCAGCGAAAUGCGAUAAGUAGUGUGAAUUGCAGAAUUCAGUGAAUCAUCGAAUCUUUGAACGCACAUUGCGCCCGGUAGUAUUCUGCCGGGCAUGCCUGUUCGAGCGUCAUUUCAACCAUCAAGCCCCAGCGCUUGUGUUGGGGGCCUGCGGCUGCCGCAGCCCCCUAAAAGCAGUGGCGGGCUCGCUAUCACACCGAGUGCAGUAGUUCAUCUUCUCUCCGGUCUUGUGAGGCGGGUUCCGGCCGUGAAACACCCCACUACAUUCAAGGUUGACCUCGGAUCAGGUAGGAAUACCCGCUGAACUUAAGCAUAUCAAUAAGCGGAGGA
rnacentral:misc_RNA from 1 species